AGAUGUAUAGCAAACAAUUGUAUCUGAUUUCGACUCAGAAGAAACCUCACCGGGGUUACAUCUU
rnacentral:tRNA from 1 species